rnacentral:lncRNA from 1 species
AUCACCAAAGAAAUAUUGCAUUUUUUCAAAAUUCUCGGAUGAUCAUAAAUAAUUUUAUUUAAUCCAUUUCAGAGAAAAAUAAAUCAUCCGACGCGUGAGGAUAUGUAUAGCUCACCAUUCAAAGCUUAAAAAUGGGAACAUUUGGUAGACCGUAAUUAAUGACUUAAUAUGUAUAUUCAAUGGAUGGCACAUAAAUCACCCACUAUUCAAAGCUCAAAGAUCACACGUGAUCACAUAGUCCAAACCAACUAGAU